rnacentral:rRNA from 1 species
UCCAGACUCCUACGGGAGGCAGCAGUGGGGAAUAUUGGGCAAUGGGCGCAAGCCUGACCCAGCAACGCCGCGUGAAGGAAGAAGGCUUUCGGGUUGUAAACUUCUUUUGACAGGGAAGAGUAGAAGACGGUACCUGUCGAAUAAGCCACGGCUAACUACGUGCCAGCAGCCGCGGUAAUACGUAGGUGGCAAGCGUUGUCCGGAUUUACUGGGUGUAAAGGGCGUGUAGCCGGGUUGACAAGUCAGAUGUGAAGUCCUGCGGCUUAACCGCAGAACUGCAUUUGAAACUGUUGAUCUUGAGUACUGGAGAGGCAGACGGAAUUCCUUGUGUAGCGGUGAAAUGCGUAGAUAUAAGGAAGAACACCAGUGGCGAAGGCGGAUGACUGGACGGCAACUGACGGUGAGGCGCGAAAGCGUGGGGAGCAAACAGGAUUAGAUACCCUUGUAC